AAUACAAAAUAUAUAAGUAUUGCAGGUGUAGUGAUGGUUUGUGUCGUUCUGCGUUACAUGAAAUAUCGUUGGACAAAAGAAGAGGAGGAAACAAGGCAGAUGUAUGAUAUGGUAGUAAAGAUUAUAGAUGUUUUACGAAGUCAUAAUGAAGCUUGCCAGGAAAACAAAGAUUUACAACCUUACAUGCCUAUUCCACAUGUGCGAGACUCCUUAAUACAGCCUCAUGACAGGAAAAAAAUGAAGAAAGUCUGGGAUAGAGCUGUUGACUUCCUUGCCGCCAAUGAGUCUAGAGUUCUCACGGAAACAUGAAGAAUAGGUGGUGCAGAUUUUCUAGUAUGGAGGUGGAUCCAGCCCUCUGCAUCCUGUGAUAAAAUAUUAGUAAUACCUUCUAAAGUAUGGCAAGGUCAAGCAUUUCAUUUAGAUAGAAGAAAUUCACCACCAAAUAGUUUGACACCAUGUUUAAAGAUUCGAAAUAUGUUUGAUCCAGUUAUGUAAGUAUUAUAAUCAGACAUAAAUGCAAUUUUUAUUUGGACUAUUUGGCUAAAAAUGUAUGGUAUUAUUCUAAUGUUAUGGCUGUAAUUGAAAAUCUGUAUUAUUUUUGAAUUUUUUUCUUUUAUUUAAUUUCAAACAAGAGUUUGACAAAAGACAUAGAUGUACAAAGAUUUAUAAAACUUUUGUAAAUCUUUAUAUUCACUGUGAAUCCUCAUAGCAGAUAAAUGUUUGAGGCUGAUUAAUGACACACAGUAACAAACAAUACACUUUAUUUAAUGUGUAAUUGAUGUUAAACAUGACUCAGCAUUUUUGUCUCAGUAUACAAUAGAAGCAGAAAUACGUACCUAAAACUAGAAAUUCCAUUUCACCUAGUAUUUCCCCUUCUAGGUGUCUUAGAUAUCAUAUUACAGUGAUACAUGCAUACCCGUGUUUAUAGCAGCACAAUUCAUAAUAGCCAAAUCUU